rnacentral:rRNA from 1 species
AUUGAACGCUGGCGGCAGGCUUAACACAUGCAAGUCGAGCGAGCGGCGGACGGGUGAGUAACGUGUGGGAAACUGCCUCAUGGAGGGGGAUAACUACUGGAAACGGUAGCUAAUACCGCAUACCAUCCGGUGAGCCCAGAGGGGAUUAGCGAGUAGGUGGGGUAAUGGCUCACUUAGGCGACGAUCCCGAGCUGGUCGGAGAGGAUGACCAGCCACACUGGAACUGAGACACGGUCCAGACUCCUACGGGAGGCAGCAGUGGGGAAUAUUGGACAAGGGGCGCAAGCCUGAUGCAGCCAUGCCGCGGGGGGGAAGAGGGCUUUCGGGUUGUAAAGCACUUUAAGCGAGGAGGCGGUACUCGCAGAAGAAGCACCGGCUAACUACGUGCCAGCAGCCGCGGUAAUUC